CGCCCUUACGGGAGGCAGCAGCAAGGAAUUUUCGGCAAUGGGCGCAAGCUGACCGAGCAACGCCGCGUGCGGGAUGACGGCCUUCGGGUUGUAAACCGCUUUUCGGGGGGACGACCCUGACGGUACCCCCGGAAUCAGCCCCGGCUAACUCUGUGCCAGCAGCCGCGGUAAGACAGAGGGGGCGAGCGUUGUCCGGAGUCACUGGGCGUAAAGCGCGCGCAGGCGGCAACCUAAGUGUCGUGUGAAAGCCCCCGGCUCAACCGGGGGAGGCCAUGGCAAACUGGGUCGCUCGAGCUGCGGAGAGGCCCCUCGAAUUGCCGGUGUAGCGGUGAAAUGCGUAGAGAUCCGCAGGAAGACCAAGGGGGAAGCCAGGGGGCUGGCCGCAGGUGAACGCUGAGGCGGGACAGGUGGGGGAGCAAAC
rnacentral:rRNA from 1 species